ensembl:lncRNA LINC00900 long intergenic non-protein coding RNA 900
GAAACUCGGGCUGAAAUACACCGUUUGCUGAAGAGCAGGGCUGGGCACUGGUUUCUCUGCGUUCUGAAUUUCUAGAAAGGAGCCGAGCAUAGAUUGAUGUGGCAUAAGUGCUCAAUAAAUGCCCAUGGACUUGGCUAAUGGAUGGACUUGCAGGGGACACUGCCCCAUCAGGAGAGAAAGUGCCGUGGACACUGCCAGAAUUUGUCAAAGGUCCUAGGAAGAAAAGGCUCUUUCACCCCUCCCCUCAAUGAACAGAUGGCGUGUUUGGACUGUUCGCAUUCGCUCCUCAUAGGUGGGAUCCUGGAGGAAGUUAAGGGGUGCUCCGUUCCCUGGGGAUGGGACAGCAGCUCGCCUUUUUACUAAUAGCUAUAAGGGACUGUCAGACAUUUACCUGACUAGACCUUCACCUCAGAGCUCAGAAGGGGAACAGCUCCAGAACUAAAAGAGAGAGCCUCUGGCAGACCCCAAAAGACAGCAUGUGGAGUGAAGCUGGGCUUCCCUGCCCAAUCACUAGGAUCAUUUAUUGCACAAAUACCUGUAUUUUAAGCUGCAGAUUAUUGUGAAUUUUUGUAUUUUCUUCAUUUCCAUUUAGCUUUUUUUCAAUUUUAGAAUAGCCUUUCUCUAGAUAACUCGAGGAAGUGGGAGACGGAAUUUCCUUUGUUUCUGUCUUGAGCCCAAAGGGACAAUUGAGUGUCAGGUAUGACAGGGAUAAAGGGAGAAACUCAGAAAUAAUGCUUUUGUUUUGUUUUGUUUUGUUUUGAGAUGGAGUCUCGCUCUUGUCGCCCAGGCUGGAGUGCAAUGGCAUGAUCUUGGCUCACUGCAAACUCCACCUCCUGGGUUCAAGCGAUUCUCCUCCUCAGCCUCCCAAGUAGAUGGGCUUACAGGCAAGCGCCAUCACGCCCGGCUAAUUUUGUAUUUUUAGUAGAGAUGGGGUUUCACCAUAUUGGUCAGUCCGGUCUUGAACUCCUGACCUUGUGAUCCA